AAUGCAUACACUAUACCUUAGGAACAUGGCAGCAAAGGACUAAGAAAGGUUGAAUAACCCCAGACAACCUAUAACUGAAAAAGCCACCUUUCUUUUAUGUGUUGAGGAAAUGAAACCGGUCAUGACACAGAAGAGGAAAAAAAGAAGUGCUUGAAUGAACUUACACUUGCGAAGUACUUCGCGUUGUUCUUGUCCUUUAUAUAUACUCAGAAAAACACAAUAAAGGCUCUAGGUAGCUCCUUCUGUGUGCUUCCUGACCAACCCUGGAACUUCCCAAUGUGGCCCUGGAUGCAUGGCAUGCCCUUUCCUCUUAGGAAGUGAUAAAUUCUUCUUCUAAAGGUAUUUGGAGGACAACAUGAUCCAGAGGCUCCAUCUAAACUUCAAGAGUUUUUCUGGUGGCUCAGUCUUCCCCUCAUUACCACUCACUGGCCUGGGCUCCAGAUGGGAGAGGAAGCCGCCUCGCCUGGCAAGUGGGAAGUGUUUGCUGUCUGUGUCCUCUAGCGCCCUGACACUGGAAUGAUGACCCAUGCAGACUCUGUUGGAUUCUUUUAAUCCUUACAAAUGCUGGCAGAGAGAUGAGGGCCAAGGACAAAGAAUGAUAAAUCUGGGUGGAUGGAAAGGAAAGAGUAUUUAUUUACUUGAGUCAGAGACAGACACAGAGAGAGUGACCCGAGGGAGAGGGCAAACCUGCCUCAGGGCUCGAUCCCAGGACCCGGACAUCAUGACCUGAGCCGAAAUCAGAUGCUUUAACAGACUAAGUCACCCAGCUAAUAGAUCCACAUUGCAAACUGCCCUUUGUACUCCAAACGUGUAUUUUCACAAGAACUGAUGAGACAAUCUUUCAAGCUCAUGCAUGAUGGCACUGUCUGGCAGCAACAUGAAGAUUCACCUGUUCUGAAAAUUUCAUAUAAGUGGAAUCAUGAAUUACGUGGGCCUUUUCGUGUCUGACUUUUUUCACUGGGCAUAAUGUUUACAAGUGAUCUACAAAUUGAAGUACAUUGGGGCUACACGAAGACUUUUCAAGAGAUAUGUGGGCACAGAUAGUUUUAAAGCAAUCAAAUUCCAGAUCCUCAACGUCCAUCUUUUCUACUACUGAUCUUUCUGCAAAUGUACCUGUAGCUAAGGCUCCACAUUGAGUGUGGAGCCGAGCACAGGGCUUGACCCUGAGAUUAAGACCUGAGCUGAGAUCAAGAGUUGGACACCUAACCAACCAAGCCACCCAGCAUUAUUUACAAGAGCCAAGUUAUGGAACAAACCCCAAUGUCCGUCAAUGGAUGAGUGGAUAAAGAAGUGAUGUAUCUCUCUCUCUCUCUCUCUCUCUCUCUCUCACACACACACACACACACACAUUAUUCAGCCAU